CGGAUACUUGCGUAUAAUUUCUUCUAAUAUCCAAUAACCUUAAAUUAUCUAGAAACUUUUCGAACAGUUUUCAUGUGAUAACGGACUGAGUAAUAGUACGUUUAGUAUUUAUCAGAGGUGUAGUUCGGUAAUCUUGAGAGAGAGAUCUUCGACCUGAUCUUCGUUGUUCUGCUGUUUCACGGAAUGCACUAUUGGGCUAGAGGUACGACUGACGUCCAACAUCUCCCGGUCUACAAGACCGUCUCUCGACUUAUAUGCAUCGAGGAUAGAUCCAGGACUCUCGAUCACACUGCCACUCUCGUUCUCGUUUUCCGAGAGGGCACCGCUGUAGAUGUUGCCAUUUGCGUUACCACCGAUUCCAUAAGGAAAACAAGCGCCACUACCAUUCGAGCCACGCUUAAAUGGUCGUGAUGUCGUGAUUCCUAGUUUUUUUACCUUAUCGUAAAGAGUUCGAGAGGGUACUCCGUACUUACGUGCCGCUUGGAGGGCACUCAUUCCCGAACGUACUGCCUCGAUCGCAGACAUUAUGUCGUCCCUCGUGUAUUGCUUGUACCGUUUCCAUUCUGGCUUUUGCGCUGACACAUCAGUAUAAGGACUAUGUGCAGGAUCCCCAUGAACUACAUCCGUACUACUGCGUCUGUCAUUCUCAUUCGAGGAGCCAUUACUGUUGCUUCUGAACUGAUUUUCGUGGCUAUCCGGAUGCAAGAGAGGAAUCCCUUGGGAACUAUCCGCGUGACCUUGACCCAGCACCGUUCUGAGAAUCGGCGUGUCUCUGUUCAUUAACAUAUUUGAAACUUUCCUGCGUUUCAAUGGAGAAGUCUCAAAACCGGUUAAAAUAGAUGAUGAUCCGCUUAACAUGGCAGAAUGUUGAUGUGCCGCCGUCUGGUGACUGGAGCUGGAAUGAGUGAUAGGAAUCCCUGAUAGAGGCCACAUUGGCAGCGGUAAACGGCUACUUCUAUCAGCUGGUGAUUUGCCAUAAAUAUCGUAAGUAGUGCCCGUGGAAUGUGGAGGAGACGUAUGAUCACUACUGUGAGCUGCGCUGCUGGUUGUACUGGUGCUUAUGGCUGGAGGAGGUGACAUAGAUGUUUCAACCUCUUCCCGACGACCUUGGGAGCCAUUUUCUUCAACCAACCCCUUCACUUUUAGUACUUCCGCGACUUUUAAUAACCCAGCCAAUUGCUCUUGAGCCACGUUUACUUCGCCUCGGUACAUAUACUCCAGGAUGGCUUUGAUCUCAGAAUACUUCACGUCUUUCAAUACGACUAUAGGAUGCUUGCAUGGUAGGUCAAUGAACAGAGUUUGGAAGUAGGAGGAACAUGCUGCUAGGACCAUCUUGUGGCAUUUGACAGACGCGCCUCCGUCAACUGCCAAAGUCACGUCAGUGAAUGCCUCAUUUUGCAGCAACUCAUCGAACACUGUCAGUAAAUUAGAGCGGUGAUUGUUCCAACGCAAACAGUACUGCUGCGAGGUACUCGCCAUCUCGGUUAACUUAAUCAGCAAAGCGGGUUCUGAAAGAAAUUGCGAAUAAUUAGGUUUUAUAACACUAAUUAAUUAUUUACUAUUAUAUGAUUAGAACUGACUAAUAAGCAUUGAACACGAUUAAUUUUUUAAUUUGUAAAAUUAUAGAACAUGGUAAACUGGAAUUUACAAAAUGAAAAUGUAAAAAUGUUUCAGGAGAUGCUUUUUACGCAUCCUUUAACAAUUGGACUGUUAAUUGGAAAUGAAAUUCAUUUGACAUAAUAUUUUAUGAGGUAUGAGUCAUGCUUGUGAAACUACCCUCAUUUAACAAUCGAAUACUGCGCAUGUGCAUGACGCAUGUUAUGCUAUAACGCAUAUGCGGAAGUUAAAAUUCGAGUAACAUUGAUCUUGCGAUGAAUAAAUUAAGCUUCAACGAGCAAAAACUAAGAAAUAAAAAACACGUUAGAAGCAUGUAAACAAUUACUAUUAUUAUAAAUAUUAUUAUUAUUAAUAAAACUUACUAAUGAUUGACAAACAUUAAUCCACGAUGCAUACUACAUGAAAUAUAAAAUAUUGUAAACAUUGUUAUUCUUACUGGCAAUAAAUUAAUAAAACUGA